UACAGAGGUCUCAAGCGUUGUUCGGAUUCAUUGGGCGUAAAGGGUGUGUAGGUGGCGCCGUAAGUCGGGUGUGAAAUUUCGGAGCUUAACUCCGAAACUGCAUUCGAUACUGUGGUGCUCGAGGACUGGAGAGGAGACUGGAAUUCAUGGUGUAGCAGUGAAAUGCGUAGAGAUCAUGAGGAAGACCAGUGGCGAAGGCGGGUCUCUGGACAGUUCCUGACACUGAGGCACGAAGGCCAGGGGAGCAAACGGG
rnacentral:rRNA from 1 species